GUGCUCGCUUUGGCAGCACAUAUACUAAAAUUGGAACGAUACAGAGACUAGCAUAGCCCCUGUGCAAGGAUGACAUGCAAUUUUUUGUACAUGGUGGU
rnacentral:snRNA from 1 species